ACAACGAAGAGUUUGAUCCUGGCUCAGGAUGAACGCUAGCGACAGGCUUAACACAUGCAAGUCGAGGGGCAGCACAGGUAGCAAUACCGGGUGGCGACCGGCGCACGGGUGAGUAACGCGUAUGCAACUUGCCUAUCAGAGGGGGAUAACCCGGCGAAAGUCGGACUAAUACCGCAUGAAGCAGGGAUCCCGCAUGGGAAUAUUUGCUAAAGAUUCAUCGCUGAUAGAUAGGCAUGCGUUCCAUUAGGCAGUUGGCGGGGUAACGGCCCACCAAACCGACGAUGGAUAGGGGUUCUGAGAGGAAGGUCCCCCACAUUGGUACUGAGACACGGACCAAACUCCUACGGGAGGCAGCAGUGAGGAAUAUUGGUCAAUGGCCGAGAGGCUGAACCAGCCAAGUCGCGUGAGGGAUGAAGGUUCUAUGGAUCGUAAACCUCUUUUAUAAGGGAAUAAAGUGCGGGACGUGUCCCGUUUUGUAUGUACCUUAUGAAUAAGGAUCGGCUAACUCCGUGCCAGCAGCCGCGGUAAUACGGAGGAUCCGAGCGUUAUCCGGAUUUAUUGGGUUUAAAGGGUGCGUAGGCGGCCUUUUAAGUCAGCGGUGAAAGUCUGUGGCUCAACCAUAGAAUUGCCGUUGAAACUGGGGGGCUUGAGUAUGUUUGAGGCAGGCGGAAUGCGUGGUGUAGCGGUGAAAUGCAUAGAUAUCACGCAGAACCCCGAUUGCGAAGGCAGCCUGCCAAGCCAUGACUGACGCUGAUGCACGAAAGCGUGGGGAUCAAACAGGAUUAGAUACCCUGGUAGUCCACGCAGUAAACGAUGAUCACUAGCUGUUUGCGAUACACUGUAAGCGGCACAGCGAAAGCGUUAAGUGAUCCACCUGGGGAGUACGCCGGCAACGGUGAAACUCAAAGGAAUUGACGGGGGCCCGCACAAGCGGAGGAACAUGUGGUUUAAUUCGAUGAUACGCGAGGAACCUUACCCGGGUUUGAACGCAUUCGGACCGAGGUGGAAACACCUUUUCUAGCAAUAGCCGUUUGCGAGGUGCUGCAUGGUUGUCGUCAGCUCGUGCCGUGAGGUGUCGGCUUAAGUGCCAUAACGAGCGCAACCCUUGCCACUAGUUACUAACAGGUAAAGCUGAGGACUCUGGUGGGACUGCCAGCGUAAGCUGCGAGGAAGGCGGGGAUGACGUCAAAUCAGCACGGCCCUUACAUCCGGGGCGACACACGUGUUACAAUGGCGUGGACAAAGGGAAGCCACCUGGCGACAGGGAGCGAAUCCCCAAACCACGUCUCAGUUCGGAUCGGAGUCUGCAACCCGACUCCGUGAAGCUGGAUUCGCUAGUAAUCGCGCAUCAGCCAUGGCGCGGUGAAUACGUUCCCGGGCCUUGUACACACCGCCCGUCAAGCCAUGGGAGCCGGGGGUACCUGAAGUCCGUAACCGAAAGGAUCGGCCUAGGGUAAAACUGGUGACUGGGGCUAAGUCGUAACAAGGUAGCCGUACCGGAAGGUGCGGCUGGAACACCUCCUUU
rnacentral:rRNA from 1 species